rnacentral:rRNA from 13 species
AACGGGUUGCAAUAAACUGGUGGCUGCGACUGUUUAAUAAAAACACAGCACUCUGCAAACACGAAAGUGGACGUAUAGGGUGUGACGCCUGCCCGGUGCUGGAAGGUUAAGAGGACCGGUUAGUAGUCUUUGACUGCGAAGCUGAGAAUUUAAGCCCCAGUAAACGGCGGUGGUAACUAUAACCAUCCUAAGGUAGCGAAAUUCCUUGUCGGGUAAGUUCCGACCUGCACGAAUGGCGUAACGACUUCUCUGCUGUCUCAACCACAGGCCCGGUGAAAUUGCACUACGAGUAAAGAUGCUCGUUACGCGCGGCAGGACGAAAAGACCCCGGGACCUUCACUAUAGCUUGGUAUUGGUGUUUGGUUCGGUUUGUGUAGGAUAGGUGGGAGACUUAGAAGCCGUCACGCUAGUGGUGGUGGAGUCGUUGUUGAAAUACCACUCUGAUCGGAUUGAGCAUCUAACCUUGGCCCAUGAUCUGGGUUGGGGACAGUGCCUGGUGGGUAGUUUAACUGGGGCGGUUGCCUCCCAAAAUGUAACGGAGGCGCCCAAAGGUUCCCUCAGCCUGGUUGGCAAUCAGGUGGUGAGUGUAAGUGCACAAGGGAGCUUGACUGUGAGACAGACAUGUCGAGCAGGGACGAAAGUCGGGACUAGUGAUCCGGCACCUACUUGUGGAUGUGGUGUCGCUCAACGGAUAAAAGGUACCCCGGGGAUAACAGGCUGAUCUUCCCCAAGAGUCCAUAUCGACGGGAUGGUUUGGCACCUCGAUGUCGGCUCAUCACAUCCUGGGGCUGAAGCCGGUCCCAAGGGUAUGGCUGUUCGCCAUUUAAAGUGGUACGCGAGCUGGGUUUAGAACGUCGUGAGACAGUUCGGUCCCUAUCUGCCGUGGGCGUUGGAAAUUUGAAGGGGGCUGCUCCUAGUACGAGAGGACCGGAGUGGACG